rnacentral:tRNA from 1 species
GGGGUGUUAACUCAGUGGUAGAGUGCUCGCUUCGCAUGCGAGAAGCCCGGGGUUCAAUCCCCCGACGCUCCA